ensembl:lncRNA
UGUGAUACAGGGUUCUCACCGUUGUACAGGGGUCUCACCGUGAUACAGGGUUCUCCGAGUGUUACAGGGUUCUCACCGUGAUACAGGGUUCUCACCGUGUUACAGGGUUCUCCGAGUGUUACAGGGUUCUCACUGUGAUACAGGGUUCUCACGUGUGUUACAGGGUUCUCCGUGUUUAACAGGGUUCUCCGAGUGUUACAGGGUUCUCACUGUGAUACAGGGUUCUCCGAGUGUUACAGGGUUCUCACCGUGUUACAGGGUUCUCGGAGUGUUGCAGGGUUCUCGGAGUGUUACAGGGUUCUCACCGUGUUGCAGGGUUCUCCGUGUUUAACAGGGUUCUGCGAGUGUGUGUGAGUGUUAUCUGUGUCAUUUUGUGCGGUGUUGAUGUAUAAUCUGAGAUCUUUUUGUUUGUUGUUGGUUUGUAGGAUUUUACGGAGAUUAAACGCAGGUGCAGACAAACUUUCCCCCAAAUCCCCUCAGCGCUGCUGCUUUAGUCGAGAUCACAGCGGCGCUGCGACGCUUCUGAUCUCCGCUCAGGCGUAAACACUCGUCACACUUCAGCACCGCCACCAAGCCUUACACCUGCUGAUCGCCAGCGCUGUGCGCAGCGGUCAUGAGCACGCCCAGCCUCUCCUUCAUCGAACUGUCAUCGCGAGUCCUCCGCAGGAGCGUUUGUUCCUGAUCCCGCGACUCUGUGUAAGUUCCCGUACACGGAGACUCACUAACGUGACCCUCGGCUGAUGGUGUAACUGUCCGUGAGUUUCCGUGGCGUUCUAUACGGGUCACGCCGUCACGUUUAAAUCGCUCCUUCAUUUCAAUCACACAACGAGUCAAUAAUCAUCUCAUCACCGUCAGUUAAUCACCUGACAUUCCAAACGCGAUUCCAAACAAAUCCAUCCAUUUACAAAUAACAAACAACCCUAGCCCUUCCACUAGGACAAAGUAUUGGCACCGUGUACAAGGAGGAGGAGUCAGUGUGUGUACAAAAUGCUGUGUGUUUGUCCCUCUAGGGAAGAACCCUUAAAAACCCCUGCGACAGAUGUUCCAAAGUUUCCAAGUUAUGGACUCUUAUAUAUUAAUGUUUUAUAUUAAUUUCAGUUAAUUUGCACUUAUUUUCAGUCGUUGAUGUAAGAAUUAUAAUUGUUAAUUAAGUGCUGCUGGACGUUUGUGACUUGGAGAACGCAUCGCUGCUGAGGUUUACAGUUUGUUAUUGAUAACGAAUAACUGCUGAUAAACUAGUUCAUAAAAACCGGACGAUUCAAAUUCGCUCGUUAUCAGUUUGAUAAAAUUGAUCAAAAUCGUUGAAUAAAAAUAGUCGACGAUGAAGUAGCAAAUUUAUCCGAAUCGAUUAGCUUAUGAACAUUUUUUCGAAUGAACUCUACGUUGUUUAAUUUUCUUAACACACGCAAAUAUAUACGUUUAAUACACUGUAGGUUCCGCGUCACGUCAUCAAAUCAUACUGCUUUCAGUUUACGUCAAAGGUCCUGGUAGUCGAUCACAAAAAGAGUCUAUUACCUGAUUCACUGAUUCACUGACUCACUGAUUCACUGAUUCUGAGAGUUAAUCCCAAAGUUUUGGAGCAAAAUGAAUUUAGCAUCCGAAAGUUUUUCAGGUAGAGGGACAGCCUGUGCAUAUUGAAUUUGCAUGAGCCAAUCAGAGCUUGAAAUGCAGUUAAGCCCCUCCCCAAGGGAUUCACAACAUUUGUUUACAUUCAGCCAAAAAAAACAUGAGGCUGUUUUGAUCUGUGUUAGUUUUGGGAUUAUAAUCACCGUAUUUUAUUGUUCGUUGGGUAAUUAAUGGUUCUUAUCUCCCAAAAAGGGUUCUACUUAGAACCGUCACUGACAGGGAAGCACUCCGUUGUAGAACUUUUAAACUUUCCACCAGAGGAACUAACGAAGAACCCGUAACGCCGUGAAAUUUUCCGCAUUAU